GGUGGUAUAGCUUAGUGGUAGAGCAUCUGCUUAGCAUGCACGAGGCCCUGGGUUCAAUCCCCAGUACCUCCA
rnacentral:tRNA from 1 species